rnacentral:lncRNA from 10 species
UUUGCUGUUGGUGGGGGCAGGGAGCAUGGUACAGGGGUGACUGAGUUCCUGCUUUGUUAGUUCCCACUGAAACUGAUUGACAAAAAGGGCCUGGCACCUCUCUCUUCUCUCUCUUUCUCUCUCUCACCAUGUGAUCUAUGCAUGCCUGUUCCCGUCUGCUUGCACUAAGAAUGGAAACAGCCUAAGUUCCUCACCAGAAGCAGAGGCUGGCACCAUGUUUGUUAUGCAGCCUGCAGAACCAGAAAUCAUGGGAAAAACUGCCCAUUUCUGUUUUGUCCACUUUGCUUUGGGAAGUGAGAGCUAUAGUCAUUAUCACCACAUCCCCUGGCAUCCAAUUCCACAUUCUACCUCAGAAGUUAUUUGGAGGAAUCCAAGGACUUAGAUAUUUUACCAAUGUCUCUGGUGAUUUUUAUAUCGGUGGCCCAUGGGUGUUGACCUAUGAAACUGCUCUGCAGCAGAUAUUGAGAAAUAGGAGUUCAGGAUUAAUAAUUCAAUUCCAGCUUUCCUGGAAGCCAGAAGUCAAAAUAUACUUGGGAUUUCUAUAAAUAUUUUUUAAUUAUGACCAUCGAACUCCAAGUACUUCAGAUUUGGAACUCGGACUGCUUUCCUUGCUCCUCAGCCUGCAGAUGGCCUAUUGUGGGACCUUGUGAUUAUGUAGUGAGACGAGCAUGAGUGGAGCAGGAGACGGCUGUCCCCCACCCACAAGGAAUAUCAGAUGAUGGUUCAGCGAUCAUCACAUUGCCUCUCUGAAAGUGAUAAAUUGGCAGCUGGCACCAGGGAGAGGCUAUUUCCUGAUGGCCCACACCUGUUGCACUAAGAUGUUAAUCGAAUGCAGAUUCCAGGGAGAAACAACUUCCUGGGCAUGUGCGUAAGAGACAAAAUGGCAGGUAUGACCUUCUGGGGACACUCCACCAGAAAAGGGAAGAAAACCUCAGAUGGGCAUGCAUAUAACUUCCUAAACACACUGCUCACACUCUCCUCCCAAGGGUAAGGAGGGCACUGCACAUGCAGGCAGCCCAUCCUAAGGGAAGCAUCCUGGGAAAGGGGUCAGUCUAUAUGGUUCUGGGAUCAAGAUUAAACACCACAUUAGACCUUCAAGUUGCCCACUUGGGUCUCUUCUAUGUGUAUUUUUCUUUCCUUUCUUUUCUGCUCUAAAGCUUUUUUAAAUAAACAUACACAUCCCUCCUCUGAAACUUGCCUUGGUCUCUUUUUCUGCCAUAUGCAACUCAGUCAAAUUAUUUCUUCUGAGGAGGAAAAAAUUGAGGUAGCUGCAUUCCCAUACAGAUUCACCAUCGGUAACUCAGAUACCUUCUACUGGCCAUAUGUUUGGUGUUCUAUUCAAGAAAUAAUUGCUAAAGCCAAUGUCUUAAAGUGUUUUUCUUAUGUUUUUCUUCUAAGAGUUUUACAGUUUCAGGUCUUACACUUAAGUAUUUAAUUAAUUUGAGUUGAUUUUAUGCAUGGUGUAGGAUGUGUGUAAUAUUCAGUUUUUCUAACACUAUUUGUUGAAGAGACUAUUCUUUUUCCACUGUGUAUCCUUAGAAGCAUUGCUGAAGUGUUGUUG